CAGGGAAGUCAGGCCUGCAUUCAAAGGUCCAAGUACCAUCUCACUGGACUUUCCAUAGACAUCCAGUAGUGAAUGAGCUCCUCCAGUAGUUUAUGCAGAGACAAAACAAAACAGUAAAAAGCUAAGGCCUGAGUCUGAACGGCAAACACAAACAGAACAGACAGAAUCAAGAAUUCGGGGAGGGGUCGGAGGCUGUUGCAAUCUGGGAGAAAGCUCCCAGCAAUGUGGGGAAGAGCUGGGCACAGCAGCUGAACUCUGCUGCUCAGGGUAUUAUGCAUACCCUCAAAAUGAACCUUUCCUUGCCAGUAACACCAAAUGCUUAUUGUAUUUCCCCUCCUGGCUUUGCAAGUCUAUCGAUCCUUUCUUUUCUUCCAAAGUGUCUGCAGCCAGUGUAGGAGUGACUUCCCACAAAGUGUUAAGCGACAGUGAGACGCUGGCGGUUUUCCAGGGCACUGAGGCCGUGGGCAGGCUGGCUGGCCCCACCAGGGGAAGUGUUUGCAGUCCUGGUCGAUGGGCACACAAGCCUGAAAAUGUUUCUCCUGUGUGCUGGUGCAGUCCGGCUAUUUUUGAAGAAUGCUUGCUCUUGUUAAACAAAGCCUGAGCCCUGUUGGGAUGAGGCUGUUUUGAGCUGAGGCAGAGCUAGAAAGACAAGGGUGAAACACUGUGGAGAACCCUCAUGGAUCCUCUAAUCUGUGCAUGAUCUUGGAGGCCACACUUACACUGACUGCCACCCCCACACUGCUGGGCACCUGUGGCUCAAACGUUUCUCACCGUCUGCCACCUGCAUCCCUCGGUCUCGCCCUUGACACUGCAGGGAGGAGCUGAACCCCUGUGCUGUGAGCACUCUUCAGAUGGAUGAGGAUGUAGCAGCAGCCUCCCCCAGGCUUCUCAUCACCUCUGCCCUUGUCGCACACUCCUGUUAAGCCCAUAUCAAAUCAUUCCAUGCAUAAAACAAGUUGCCAAGGAGAGAGACUUACUGCUAUUUUUUUUUUUUAAAAAAGACCCGAACCCUUCUGUUUUUGUCAAAGUACACAAUGGAGUAGAAAUUUUGGAAAAUAGAGGAAAUAGCUUUAAAAAUAAUCACAUAUAAUCUCCCAGGCCAGAGAAAACUACUGAGAAUGUUUCACGGUACAUCUCCGUUUCUUCCAGUGCAUAGAAUUAGCUUCUACAUGGUGUUAAUAGUAUUGUAUUGUACUUAUUGCUUUAUAAUAUCCUUUUAUAUUUUAGAACAUCCUAGACUUUUUCACAAUUUAUUAAGUAUUCUCUAUGACAUUGGUUUCGUGGCUUUAAGCAUUUCUGCUGGAAGAGCCCUUGAUCACUCUCCAUUUCUUUCCUUUUCAAAUUUUCUUUCACGGCAUGCAUUGCCAUCUGCCAUUUUACGAUGUAUUUAGUGAUUUCUUGUCUGUGUCCUCAGCUAAAAUAGAAGCUUCAGCAGGAUAGGGUCUUUGCUGGUUUUGUCCACUGUUAUAUUAAAAGAACACAGAAUAAUAAGUGACACAUGGCAGACGGUCCACAAAUAUUUGUUGGAUACAUGAGUGGCUUUAAGCAGUCAUCCACUGAUGGACACUUGAAGUGACUAUGCAAUACACUACAUUGUAUGUAAAUCUUUUUGCUGUUAAAGCAAAUCUUCAGUGUGACCUUUCCAGGUCAAAAAGUAUGGAUUUUAGUUGGC
rnacentral:lncRNA from 10 species